rnacentral:rRNA from 1 species
GACGAACGCUGGCGGCAUGCCUAAUACAUGCAAGUCGAGCGAACAGAUGAAGUGCUUGCGCUUCUGACGUUAGCGGCGAACGGGUGAGUAACACGUAUGGAAUCUACCUAUAAGCGGGGGAUAACAUUCGGAAACGGGUGCUAAUACCGCAUAAUAUCUUCUUCCGCAUGGAAGAAGAUUGAAAGACGGCUCUGCUGUCACUUAUAGAUGACCUUGCGGUGCAUUAGUUAGUUGGUGGGGUAAUGGCCUACCAAGACGAUGAUGCAUAGCCGACCUGACAGGGUGCUCGGCCACAUUGGGACUGAGGCACGGCCCAAACUCCUACUGGAGGCAGCAGUAGGGAAUCUUCCGCAAUGGGCGAAAGCCUGACGGAGCAAUGCCGCGUGAGUGAAGAAGGCCUUCGGGUCGUAGAACUCUGUUAUAAGAGAAGAAAAAAUUGUAGAGUAACUGCUACAGUCUUGACGGUAUCUUAUCAGAAAGCCACGGCUAACUACGUGCCAGCCGCCGCGGUAA